AGGCCCUGGACGACGGCGGGGGCGUCGGGUGCCUCGGACACCCGGGCCUCGAACAGCGCGGGCAGAGUGAGCGGUUCGGGCCCGGGGCGGCCCGC
rnacentral:tRNA from 1 species